rnacentral:rRNA from 1 species
GAAAGGAUCAUUAACAGGAGGAGGAGCGGGCUGGAACCUCUCGGGGUUACAGCCUUGCUGAAUUAUUCACCCUUGUCUUUUGCGUACUUCUUGUUUCCUUGGUGGGUUCGCCCACCACUAGGACAAACAUAAACCUUUUGUAAUUGCAAUCAGCGUCAGUAACAAAUUAAUAAUUACAACUUUCAACAACGGAUCUCUUGGUUCUGGCAUCGAUGAAGAACGCAGCGAAAUGCGAUAAGUAGUGUGAAUUGCAGAAUUCAGUGAAUCAUCGAAUCUUUGAACGCACAUUGCGCCCUUUGGUAUUCCAAAGGGCAUGCCUGUUCGAGCGUCAUUUGUACCCUCAAGCUUUGCUUGGUGUUGGGCGUCUUGUCUCUAGCUUUGCUGGAGACUCGCCUUAAAGUAAUUGGCAGCCGGCCUACUGGUUUCGGAGCGCAGCACAAGUCGCACUCUCUAUCAGCAAAGGUCUAGCAUCCAUUAAGCCUUUUUUUCAACUUUUGACCUCGGAUCAGGUAGGGAUACCCGCUGAACUUAAGCAUAUCAAUUAAGCGGAGGAA